GGCGACAGACUUAGUUGGUCGCACAGAAAGGGAAGGAAGAACUUCAGGCCGCCGUUUUCGACUCGACUUUGCGGGGUACGCCAUCUUGCCGCUUCCGCUCUUCCUCCUCGCAAGGUGAGGAAGAGCCCUCGGCCAGGAGGAGUGACGAUCUGACGAGAGAAGAAAAGAACGAAACAAGCGGGGGCAUAUCUUCUAUCAUCAAUCGCGUGUAACUCCGCUAUUACGGCACCGUUUCGGAAUAUUCUCAUGGCUAUGUAUUCGUCGUACACCCCUGCGCAACCGAAGCACCGCUACUCGAUUUCGACUGCUGUGUGGUUUCGGGGCUCUGCAAGAAAUACAAGGAUGGAAACGGUUCA